rnacentral:rRNA from 1 species
UACUCGAGUGGCGAACGGGUGAGUAACACGUGGGUGAUCUGCCCUGCACUCUGGGAUAAGCCUGGGAAACUGGGUCUAAUACCGGAUAGGAACCAUCUUUAGUGUGGUGGUUGGAAAGUUUUUUCGGUGUAGGAUGAGCUCGCGGCCUAUCAGCUUGUUGGUGGGGUAAUGGCCUACCAAGGCGGCGACGGGUAGCCGGCCUGAGAGGGUGUACGGCCACAUUGGGACUGAGAUACGGCCCAG